UACGAAGGGUGCAAACGUUGCUCGGAAUUAUUGGGCGUAAAGCGCACGUAGGCGGCUUUUCAAGUCCCAUGUGAAAUCCCACGGCUUAACCGUGGAAGUGCAUGGGAAACUGGAGAGCUUGAGUACUUAAGAGGAUCGCGGAAUUCCCGGUGUAGAGGUGAAAUUCGUAGAUAUCUACAGGAACUCCGGUGGCGAAAGCGGCGCGCUGGACCUCUUCUGACGCUGAGGCGCGAAAGCUAGGGGAGCAAACGGG
rnacentral:rRNA from 1 species